UACGUAGGUGGCAAGCGUUGUCCGGAUUUAUUGGGGUUAAAGGGUGCGUAGGCGGUUUUCUAAGUCAGCAGUGAAAUACGGCAGCUCAACUGUCGAGGUGCUGUUGAUACUGGGGAACUUGAGUACUGAUGAGGUAGGCGGAAUGGACGGUGUAGCGGUGAAAUGCUUAGAGAUCGUCCAGAACACCGAUAGCGAAGGCAGCUUACUAAGGAGUAACUGACGCUGAGGCACGAAAGUGUGGGGAUCAAACAGG
rnacentral:rRNA from 1 species